rnacentral:misc_RNA from 1 species
GUUCUUCUGUCCUCAUCACCUUCUCAAAAACCCAUCUCCGGGAAAUGAAGACCUUCACUUGUUUCUUUAUCUUGGCUACUUUGCUUCUAUCAGAAUCACUCUCCACUGCGACCCGACCCGAACCCAACUCAUCCAAUGGCAAGCCCACCAACCCGAGAAACAAAGCAGAUGGAAGUGGAAACGAUGCUGGGAUUGGCGGAUUCUUUGGGCCUGGAUCAGGGUUUGGGAUACCCGGGCUUGGAAAAGGACGGGGAAAUGGGAUUAUGGGUGGCGGGUAUGGAGCUGGGUUUGGAGGUCCAAAUGGAGGGUAUUCAAAAGGUGGGAUCAUAAGGCCUACCGUAGUGUGCAAAGAAAGGGGUCCUUGUUACAAGAAAAAGCUCACAUGUCCUGCCAAGUGUUUCACCACCUACAGCCGGUCGGGGAAGGGAUAUGGAGCUGGCGGUGGCAGUGGUAGCUGCACCAUGGACUGUAAGAAGAAGUGUAUUGCUUAUUGUUAGAGGAAGAGGAAAGCGUUGAAGGCGGUGGCCGGUGAUAGUUUCUGCUAUGUAUUAGUAGUAGUAUAGUUGAAGAAUGUUAUCUAGUUUAAUCCUGAGGAUUUAUUUUAUAUAUAAAAAUUAUAUAAUAUAUACACAUAAUUAAAAACUCUUAUGAGUUGCUGUUUUUGAGAUUUAUUUUUCCCGUUUUCUGUUUUUAAUUGAAAGAAACGCAUAGUAUCCAAGUAUUGCUGUUGGGUGUGGCACCUGGCACUGCUGACAGGGUUGGUAUCUUGUGGGUCCACAACUCCACGUUGGAGUUGAUUACAGCCACCUACUCUCAAUAAAUUGUUCUCACCCUUCGGUGUGCUAUAUCUAAUUGUCA